UACGGAGUGUGCAAGCGUUACUCGGAAUCACUGGGCAUAAAGGGCGCGUAGGCGGGUUUCCAAGUCGGUUGUGAAAUCCCUCAGCUCAACUGAGGAACUGCAUCCGAUGCUGUUUAUCUUGAGGACGAGAGGGGAGAGUGGAACUUCUGGUGGAGCGGUGAAAUGCGUAGAUAUCAGAAGGAACGCCGGUGGCGAAGGCGGCAUCCUGGACCGACACUGACGCUGAGGAGCGAAAGCCAGGGGAGCAAACGGG
rnacentral:rRNA from 1 species